rnacentral:rRNA from 1 species
UCCCAGCACCCCGAGUGGUCGGGACGAUUAUUGGGCCUAAAGCAUCCGUAGCCGGUUUUACAAGUCCUCCGUUAAAUCCACCUGCUUAACAGAUGGGCUGCGGAGGAUACUAUAGAGCUAGGAGGCGGGAGAGGCAAGCGGUACUUAGUGGGUAGGGGUAAAAUCCGUUGAUCCAUUGAAGACCACCAGUGGCGAAGGCGGCUUGCCAGAACGCACUCGACGGUGAGGGAUGAAAGCUGGGGGAGCAAACCGG